GAUGAACGCUAGCGGGAGGCCUAACACAUGCAAGCCGAGCGGUAUUGUUUCUUCGGCAAUGAGAGAGCGGCGUACGGGUGCGUAACACGUGUGCAACCUGCCUUUAUCUGGGGGAUAGCCUUUCGAAAGGAAGAUUAAUACUCCAUAAUAUAUUGAACGGCAUCGUUUAAUAUUUAAAGCUCCGGCGGAUAGAGAUGGGCCCGCGCAAGAUUAGCUAGUUGGUGAGGUAACGGCUCACCAAGGCGAUGAUCUUUAGGGGGCCUGAGAGGGUGAUCCCCCACACUGGUACUGAGACACGGACCAGACUCCUACGGGAGGCAGCAGUGAGGAAGAUUGGUCAAUGGGUGCAAGCCUGAACCAGCCAUCCCGCGUGAAGGACGACUGCCCUAUGGGUUGUAAACUUCUUUUGUAUAGGGAUAAACCUACCCUCGAGAGGGUAGCUGAAGGUACUAGACGAAUAAGCACCGGCUAACUCCGUG
rnacentral:rRNA from 1 species